GAAGAAACAGGUGUAUUCCGACCAUAAACUGAAUGGAUCAGAAGAGAUCGUAACUUGAUCGAGUAUAUACAAGAAAGGUUUUCUAUUGACAGAAAACAGCGGCCCACUCUACCAAAUUACCUCUUCCAACAAUGAUGACGUUUUGAGGUUAUCCAGAUUGAUUCAGGAGUCUGAGUACGAAGCAUCCAUAUCAG